rnacentral:misc_RNA from 1 species
GGAACACUCGUUUAGUUUCACAACCAUCCUGUAUCCAAGGGAAAAUGAGGGAUUAUCAACUAGCUGGAUUAAAUUGGCUCAUUCGAUUAUAUGAGAAUGGCAUAAAUGGAAUCCUUGCCGAUGAGAUGGGGCUUGGCAAGACAUUACAAACCAUCUCCUUGUUGGGCUAUCUCCAUGAGUACAGAGGCAUAACAGGCCCCCAUAUGGUAGUUGCACCAAAAUCUACCCUGGGAAACUGGAUGAAUGAAAUUCGGCGAUUUUGCCCUGUCUUGCGUGCUGUAAAGUUUCUUGGAAAUCCUGAUGAAAGGAGGGAUAUACGGGAAAAUUUACUGGUUGCUGGGAAAUUUGAUGUCUGUGUUACCAGUUUCGAAAUGGCCAUUAAGGAGAAGACUUGCUUGCGUCGUUUCAGUUGGCGCUACAUUAUUAUUGAUGAAGCUCAUCGAAUUAAGAAUGAGAAUUCCCUCCUUUCAAAGACAAUGAGGCUUUAUAACACCAACUACCGUCUUCUAAUCACUGGCACACCGC